rnacentral:rRNA from 1 species
UACGUAGGGGGCAAGCGUUGUCCGGAAUCAUUGGGCGUAAAGCGCGCGUAGGCGGCCCGGUAAGUCCGCUCUGAAAGUCCAGGGCUCAACCCUGGAAAGCGGGUGGAUACUGCCGGGCUAGAAUCCGGAAGAGGCGAGUGGAAUUCCUGGUGUAGCGGUGAAAUGCGCAGAUAUCAGGAGGAACACCGGUGGCGAAGGCGGGUCUCUGGGCCGAUACUGACGCUGAGGAGCGAAAGCAUGGGUAGCGAACAGG